GCUAAUUAAUGUUUCGAUAGUAUGCUCUGAAUGAAAGAAGUUGGAUAAAUGGAUAGAAAAAAAAAAUACUAAGAAAGAAGAAUUCAGUGUUUUGUGAACUGUCAACACCAGAACAAAGGUUUAAAUAAAAAUUCCGACCUGCCGGAUUCGAACCAGCGACCUAAGGAUAUCAGCAUGGAAACCAACUACAGUCCUCCGCUCUACCAACUGAGCUAAGGAAUAGAUUGAGUGAAUUUGUGAAUCUACCAGGUGCAUAAUUCAUCAUCGCAGUGGGAGCAAUUUCAAGGUGUCGAGCAUGACAUAGACAAAAGGCUCUCUAUCUCACUUAUGUUAGGUGUAGGAUCGAUAGUAUCAGGCAUGAGUUUGAGGAGAGCUUUUUGAUUUGGUCACACUGGGCAUGGGUUGAAUGGCAUCAAGUUUAGAUGCCCUUGGAACUCUCUGACUUAGUGACGUUAGGUCCUAUUUGAGUGGUGUCAAGUGUGAUCAAGACAACUAUCUAGAUGAAGCUAAACGCCAAUUCAAUGAUGUUGAACAUGGGAUUGGCCAUACUAGGCAUGAUUGCCACAUGGACUCUCUGUCUCAUUCACAUCGGACAUAAGUAGAUUGACAUCAAGCGUAGGUGAGCCAAAAGCUUUAUACCUCAAUGACGUCGGGCGCGGGGAGAAUGGCAGCGGGUGCGGGUUGGCUAAUUAAAAUGUGUUGUUUUGACUAACUGUUGAACAUAGUAUGAGUAAAUAAGAAUGCUUUUCGUGUUGUGUAUUGUUGAA